rfam:Schistosoma mansoni strain Puerto Rico chromosome 1, complete genome
AGCUUUUUGAAUUCAUGUAAAGAUUUCGUCAGACACCAGCCCAACAGGGCUGAUCAGAUUUUCAACAUAAGUGAAGUU